rnacentral:misc_RNA from 1 species
GGAGGAGGACGCCGAAGGUGGGGCUAAUGACUGGGGUGAAGUCGUAACAAGGUAGCCGUACCGGAAGGUGCGGCUGGAUCACCUCCUAACAGGGAGACAACAAAAUGUUUAAUAUUAUUAUUUUGUCACCUUAGGUCGAUCGGUAUCUCAUGUUCUUAAUUUAUUAAGAAUUUCAUUUCCUAAGUUUUUCUAGGUCACACCCAUUAUUUUCCUGGGCCAUUAGCUCAGGUGGUUAGAGCGCACCCCUGAUAAGGGUGAGGUCCCUGGUUCAAGUCCAGGAUGGCCCAUAUCUCUAUGUUGGGGGUAUAGCUCAGUUGGUAGAGCGCCUGCUUUGCAAGCAGGAUGUCAGCGGUUCGAGUCCGCUUACCUCCACUGAUUACCACCUCUUCCAUAAUCUGUAGAAAGGAAAAUUUUUUGAGUUGUGAUCAUUAUUCUGAACGAAUCUAGCUUCCUAAUGAAAUUAUUAAGAUGCUGGACUCAUUGAAUUAAUUUCAUUGUUUUCAGAGAACCUUGACAACUGCAUAGAUUAUUUUUAAAGACAAUAAGCAUCUUUAAUGAUGCAGAUUUAUUAUUUGUGCAAAUGCAUUAAUAACAAUUCUAUUAAGCUGAUGCUUCAAUUAUGAAGUUAUUGGUCAAGCUACAAAGGGCUCACGGAGGAUACCUAGGC